UACGGAGGGGGCUAGCGUUGUUCGGAAUUAUUGGGCGUAAAGCGCGCGCAGGUGGUUUCUUAAGUCUGAUGUGAAAGCCCACGGCUCAACCGUGGAGGGUCAUUGGAAACUGGGGAACUUGAGUGCAGAAGAGGAAAGUGGAAUUCCAAGUGUAGCGGUGAAAUGCGUAGAGAUUUGGAGGAACACCAGUGGCGAAGGCGACUUUCUGGUCUGUAACUGACACUGAGGCGCGAAAGCGUGGGGAGCGAACAGG
rnacentral:rRNA from 1 species